GGAGCGCAGGGGUGCGGUGGUGAGCCCAGCAACGCGGCGGCGCCAGCUGCGGGCUAUGCUCCGCUCGUGACGGCGGCGGCUAACUGGCACGGUCCACUGGCAUAAGAUGCUCCAGCUGGCUUCUCAUGUGACCGCACUUAUCAUUAUAUGCCUGUCUUCUACCGGAGAGCCGAUGCUGCUGGGUGGACGGCCAACAGCUGGCCUGGACGGCCUGGACCAACUGAUUGGCGGCGCCGCGCCCGGUCCAGUGGGCAGCAGGCGGGGCCCGCGCUGGCCGGCCGGUCUCUCUCGGCCCGGCUGGGGGUCCGGCUACCCGCCGCCCAGCGGCG